ACUGCUCAGUAACACGUGCAUAACCUGCCCUUGGGUCUGGCAUAACCCCGGGAAACUGGGGAUAAUUCCGGAUAACGCAUAUAUGCUGGAAUGCUUUAUGYGUAAAAUGGAUUCGUCCGCCCAAGGAUGGGUCUGCGGCCUAUCAGGUAGUAGUGGGUGUAAUGUACCUACUAGCCUACAACGGGUACGGGUUGUGAGAGCAAGAGCCCGGAGAUGGAUUCUGAGACAUGAAUCCAGGCCCUACGGGUUGCAGCAGGCGCGAAAACUUUACCAUGCGGGCAACCGUGAUAAGGAAACCCCGAGUGCCAGCACAGGCUGGCUGUCUGCCAGUUUAAAUAACUGGUGAAGAAAGGGCCGGGCAAGACCGGUGCCAGCCGCCGCGGUAAUACCGGCGGCUCGAGUGGUGGCCGCUAUUACUGGGCUUAAAGGGUCCGUAGCUUGAUAACUGGGUCCCUUGAGAAAUCCGCCAGCUUAACUGGCGGGCGUUCAGGGGAAACUUGUUUUCUAGGGACCGGGAGAGGUGAGGGGUACUGCCGGGGUAGGAGUGAAAUCCUGUAAUCCCGGUGGGACCACCUAUGGCGAAGGCAUCUCACCAGAACGGGUCCGACAGUGAGGGACGAAAGCUGGGGGAGCAAACCGGAUUAGAUACCCGGGUAGUCCCAGCUGUAAACUAUGUGCGUUAGGUGUGUCAGUGACCACGUGUCACUGAGGUGCCGAAGGGAAACCGUGAAACGCACCGCCUCGGGAGUACGGUCGCAAGGCUGAAACUUAAAGGAAUUGGCGGGGGAGCAC
rnacentral:rRNA from 1 species